CUCCUCUUUAUUGGCCAUUCUUGCCUUACAUUUCCUAUCGUCCUGGCCCCAGGUCAAAUUGUUCAUGAUAUUUUCAACUAUGAGAUUCUGUUUUUCCUUGUUGAACUGCAGAAAUGUAUUAUAACUUCAAAAACGCUUUUCUGUUUUCCAGAGAAGGAGCAAAUGUCAAAAUACUUCAGGAGUGGUCUUGAGCCAGAAUUCCUUUGUGGCUCCAUGAUGUAAAGUUCCCAUGGGAACCUAGAGAAGGACUUUCCCUAUAUUCCCCACCUCUUUGGGCUUCAGCAAAAGAAAAUGGACCUCAAGGGAAUCUUCAAGAGUUGCUUCAAAAUUUACUGUUCAUCGAAGCAUUUGCUGAAGACUGGCUUCGUGUCAGAGGCUGUGCUGAAUGUUAUGGAGAAGGAGGUGAAGGAGAUUCGGUGCUUACCAUGAAGGAGAGAGGUGGCUGCAUGAAUGUGUCAUUUUAUUACAGUGCAAUAAGUGAGGUGGUGAGCUUUGCGCAGACUUUAUGGAAUUAAAGAAAGAGGUCAGGAAAGCUUUUAGGAACUGUAGAGACAGUGCCUAAAUUGUGUUUGAAGUUUGUCCCGAAUCAGCAGAUGAGAGAGGAGAGAGAAGAGUGGAAAGAAAUCUAGGUCAAUUAUCUUCCUAUUUCAAUUCAAAAGCGUAAAGGAGACUUAAAACACAAAAGAAAAAAAAUGAGAGGAAUUAAACUUCAGAAAAGUAAAACACACAGUCAUCCACUGCUUAUGUCCAUGUGAGAAGAAUGGAUAUGGGUCCAGCUAAAGAAAACUGUGAACUAUGGAAGAAAAAAAUCCUACACAUUUGUCAUCCUGGGUUUUCCCAAGUAAAAGGGGUCAAAUAGCCACCUUUGGGAUGCAUCCAAUAGUCCCAUGUAAGAUAUUUUCUUAGGGUGCGGGGUGAGGAUGAUGACGGAAGACAUGUGCCAAUCUGAAAGGGAGUAAGCUUGACCACAUGGCCGAGUGGCAUCUCUGAAACCAACAGGGAUAAUGAUAAUGCUAUAGUCCACCUGGUUGGUCCAGAAAUGGUGCUUUCAUCAAAAGAACACACUCUAGCAAUCUACAACCAUUUCAAAAUAACCCAAAUCUUUUGUAAGUGUGUCUCAGCAACAGGAAGGUGAAACAUAAUUUCCAGGAAUAUUCAAAUUCCCUCUUUUCCUGCUUUUUUCCCACCUGCCUCUCCAUCUUCAGGUGCUGCCUUCAGUUUCUCUGCCCUUU
rnacentral:lncRNA from 1 species